rnacentral:SRP_RNA from 1 species
AACGACGACAGCAACAACGACAAGUACAACGACGGCAACGACCCUCACAACAACAUUGACGCGUACCACCAGGCUUGACGCGCAUCACCAGCACUAGCUCAACGACGACAGCAACAGAGACAAGUGCAACAAUGACAGCAACACCUGCGAUAAGCCACACGACAGCAACCAGAACGGGCACAACCACUAGUGCAACGCCC